ACAUGAAGAGGUGCCCAAUGAGCACAAGACAAACCCUAGGCUGCCUGACCGCAGACCGCCCAGCACAGAGCAGGGGAAGGCACGACGCGGCUCAAAAGAAACAGGCAGAAAGCGACGGAGUUCAUCUUUCCCGCUGGAUCCCGCAGGACCAACCGGUCCGCCUUCGGGCUCGCUCCGCGCCAGUUCCGAUCGCGCACAUUUACUACGUCACGGCGUCCAGUCUCGCGGUAUCCUCCUGCCGCCGAGGCCCUUUCGCAAAAGUCUCGCGAAACCUGUUCCUCGGGCCCACGGCUCCGCGCUCGCCCUCCUCCACUCCGCCCCUACCCCGGCUUCUCCCUCACUCGCUCCCCGGGUCAGGAAAUUCCCCGCUCGGGUCCGGCAGGCGCGCCUCCUCCCUCCCAGUUCCGAGUUCAAACCGGAACUGGAAGUGUGGUGGGCGGGGCCCGGCGACGGAAAGCGCUGAGGAGCCGAAGCCGGGACUCGGCGGUGGCCCGGGUCGGUCCCGCGCCACGGAGCGCCGGGCGGCGGGGCUGCGGGGCUCCGGGCUGAAGGGCGCUGCGCGAGCCGGAGGGCGGGCGCGGCCCCCCGGGCGCCGCGGGGGAUCAUGUCGACAGCCUCCGCCGCCUCGUCCUCCUCCUCGUCUUCUGCCAGUGAGAUGAUCGAAGCGCCGUCGCAGGUCCUGAACUUCGAAGAGAUCGACUACAAGGAGAUCGAGGUGGAAGAGGUUGUCGGAAGAGGAGCUUUUGGAGUAGUUUGCAAAGCUAAGUGGAGAGCAAAAGAUGUCGCUAUUAAACAGAUAGAAAGUGAGUCUGAGAGGAAGGCUUUCAUUGUGGAGCUCCGGCAGUUGUCACGUGUGAACCAUCCUAACAUUGUCAAGUUGUAUGGAGCCUGCCUGAAUCCAGUAUGUCUUGUGAUGGAAUAUGCAGAGGGGGGCUCAUUGUAUAAUGUGCUGCAUGGUGCUGAACCAUUGCCUUACUACACUGCUGCUCAUGCCAUGAGCUGGUGUUUACAGUGUUCCCAAGGAGUGGCUUACCUGCACAGCAUGCAGCCCAAAGCGCUGAUUCACAGGGACCUCAAGCCUCCAAACUUGCUGCUGGUUGCAGGAGGGACAGUUCUAAAAAUCUGCGAUUUUGGUACAGCUUGUGACAUCCAAACACACAUGACCAAUAAUAAAGGGAGUGCUGCUUGGAUGGCGCCUGAAGUAUUUGAAGGUAGCAAUUACAGUGAAAAGUGUGAUGUCUUCAGCUGGGGUAUUAUCCUCUGGGAAGUGAUAACACGCCGGAAACCCUUCGAUGAGAUCGGUGGCCCAGCUUUCAGAAUCAUGUGGGCUGUUCAUAAUGGCACUCGACCACCACUGAUCAAAAAUUUACCUAAGCCCAUUGAGAGCUUGAUGACACGCUGUUGGUCUAAGGACCCAUCUCAGCGCCCUUCAAUGGAGGAAAUUGUGAAAAUAAUGACUCACUUGAUGCGGUACUUCCCAGGAGCGGAUGAGCCGUUACAGUAUCCUUGUCAGUACUCUGAUGAAGGGCAGAGCAACUCAGCCACCAGCACAGGCUCAUUCAUGGACAUUGCUUCUACAAAUACCAGUAAUAAAAGUGACACAAAUAUGGAACAGGUUCCUGCCACAAACGACACUAUUAAACGCUUGGAGUCAAAACUUUUGAAAAACCAGGCAAAGCAACAGAGUGAAUCUGGACGCCUGAGCUUGGGAGCCUCUCGUGGGAGCAGUGUGGAGAGCUUGCCCCCCACUUCCGAGGGCAAGAGGAUGAGUGCUGACAUGUCUGAAAUAGAAGCCAGGAUCGUGGCGACUGCAGCCUAUUCCAAGCCUAAACGGGGCCACCGUAAAACCGCUUCAUUUGGCAACAUUCUGGAUGUCCCUGAGAUCGUCAUAUCAGGUACCAUAGACCACCUGUGUUGGUGUAACGGCUGUGGAACUGGAUUCAUGAUCCCGGUAACGGGCAACCAAGGCGUAGAUCCAUCCAAGACUUGACUGUUACUGGGACAGAACCUGGUCAGGUGAGCAGCCGGUCAUCCAGCCCUAGUGUCAGAAUGAUCACUACCUCAGGACCAACCUCAGAGAAGCCAGCUCGCAGUCACCCGUGGACCCCUGAUGAUUCCACAGAUACCAAUGGCUCAGAUAACUCCAUCCCAAUGGCGUAUCUUACACUGGAUCACCAGCUACAGCCUCUAGCGCCGUGCCCAAACUCCAAAGAAUCCAUGGCAGUGUUCGAACAACAUUGUAAAAUGGCACAGGAGUAUAUGAAAGUUCAAACCGAAAUCGCAUUGUUACUACAGAGAAAGCAAGAACUAGUUGCAGAAUUGGACCAGGAUGAAAAGGACCAGCAAAAUACAUCUCGUCUGGUACAGGAACAUAAAAAGCUUUUAGAUGAAAACAAAAGCCUUUCUACUUAUUACCAGCAAUGCAAAAAACAACUAGAGGUCAUCAGAAGCCAACAGCAGAAACGACAAGGCACUUCAUGAUUCUCUGGGACCGUUACGUUUUAAAAUAUGCAAAGACCUUUUUUUAAGAGAAGACAAACCAUUAUAACAGUUCAUGAGUGUUAGCUUUUUGGCGUGUUCUGAAUGCCAAAUGCCUCUCUUUGCUGCAUUUGUUAUGUCAGUUACCUUUCUUCUUAUGGUGGAUAUAAAAUCCACUGUCGUGUUGCAGCAGAUGAUGGCACCUGUGGCUUGGGAAGGCGAGCGUGCUCAGCUUCAGAGCACAUGAAGUGAACCUGGCUGUAUGUGCAUGCUCCUGGAGUGAGCUACCUAACAGGAGGGGGUAGCACACUGGCUACUGUGUGCAGGCAUCAUCCUUUCUCUGUAGUAAAAGGUGGGACCUCAAGAAUUUUCUUCAAAGUGCUCAUCUCAAAAAUCUGAUUUUUUUCCCAGUAGAUGGUAUGCUCCAAUGUAAAGACAGGGUAUUAAAAUAACUUGUGGUACAUUACAGAGGGACAGAAUGUUGAGGCUGAGUUCAAAGACAGGGUUUGUGCCAACACAUCCUGGAUCAAUACUAACUGUAGUCCCACCUGUUACUAUUAAAGGUGAGUGGUGGCAGCUGUGCUUAAGGAGAGCAAGUUUACUGACUUUCGUGAGGUUGAGCAUCGUCUGUGAAAUAUGAAUGACAUGCUCUUUUUACACCCUAUGGAUUUUCAAUUCUGUGUGAAAACAGAAGCCUUUCUGACUUUUAAUAUUAGUAGCAGAUGAAAUUGAAAGAUGAUGAUGUAGCUUAAAUGAUCCUUCUUGUAACCAUUACUGAGUUGUUUUAUGAUAUAUUUGAAGAAAAUUGAAAAAUAAUAGAGACACAAAUCAUUGGCCCAGCUAAAGGAGGCUUGAGCUGAGCUAUCGGUCUGUUAUACCAAAUAAGGAACACAGCAGGCUAAUCAGGAGGCCCGAGUAAGGAAGGCAAAGGAGGAAAAUUAAACCCACUUUCGUAGCUACUCAGAGGACUUGAUUCCUCUGAAGUCCUUUCCUGAGUCUGUUGCCUUCCCAUGCUUUUAAGAGAAUUUGAACACUUACAAAGAGAAUAUUUAUAUUGUUAACAAUAAGUUUACUACCAACCUUCAAAAUAACUUAAAGGUAAUAAUAAAAUGCCAUUAAAAAAAUAAAUCCCUAAGAUCUAUUUUUUCAGUCCAUGUUAACACAUUUUGAUACCAGUGCAUGAAUGUCUUUUAAAUUAGAUGCCAUCAGCUUCGCUUUUAUAGUGUUCAUGUUUGUAAAGAGAACAUUUGGAAUGGAAAGAUGAUCGCUGUGGUACUUAGAUGUACAUCUCGCAUGUUCCUGCUCUGUUCCAGAUGAGCACGAGAAGCUAGCGAAGGUGUUCUUUAAGGCUAAGACAGAUAACCUUUUUCCUGUUAUUUUUUUCCUCUCUGAGUUUUAUAAUGAAUCCCUUCUGUAUACAGUGAAGGUAAGGGAGAGUUUAUAGCAAGAUGUGCCUUCCUCAAAACCUGUUAGUAGAAAGCUCCUGGGAGCUAAAUGUCUUCUUUCACUUAAAUAAAAAAGAUUAUAGAUAGCCUCAAACUCUAUUAGGUGACAUGAGUGCCGAGCUCAGCGUUAGUAGUGACAUAAAACUGACACAGAAGAUAGCUGUAGUCUGAGUCCAAGACCAACACCGCCUGCCACUGCUGCCUGUGCAGACAUCUGGCACUCCACAGGAGAGCCAUGGUCUCUGCUGUGCAGCAUGCUGAAAGCAUCUUGACUUCCCAGGAGAUUCCACAUUACAUGGAUGCAAGCUCAUUUCUAGCCAGUUGUUUUGCAAGGUCUGCAUCCUACAACUAAAAGGAAAUUUUGUUGUCCUGGUCACUUGAAAGUAUUCAAACAAGCAAAUGGAAGAAAACACUGGAUUUGCUCAUGGUACCAGUGUUGAAAGAUUGUUACUCGGUUGCUUGUGUAUGCUCAGCUCCUUGGGGUUUCCGACACUGUGGUCCUGGACAGCCUUAAGUAGGUGCACUGGCACACUCACAUGCAUUUUUAAAGCUCCACUAUCGCUGAACGUGAGCACACCAUCCAUACUUGAAAUCCAUACCAGUUUGCUCAAUGUCUCAACCUGUAAAACCUUCAAAUAACAACAUACCAAGGAGCCAGAUGGUCACUAAUUCCUGUUCUACAAUUUAUUCAAGCCUCACUUCUUGGGUGAAGUAGAAAACAGGCAGACAGGUUUAUACAUUGAUGUCCAAGAACCAGACAGUCCUGCACAGACACUAGUGGCAUUUUGUUUCCAUUUCCAGGAAAGGAAGCAAGGUUGUGCAAUGUGGAGUGAAGUCCUCCUCAGCAGUAAAGCCAUGCUCUAGGUUGAGUAAGUCAGUUAAGAGCACCAUACUGCCAUACUGAAAACAUCUGCUUAGAGUUAUUUACAAGUGGUUGGCUAUUUUUUGUUGAAGUAUUUUUUGAAUAGCGAAUGUCUUUUUCCUUCAAAUUUCUGUCAUUCUCCCAAGGCCCCCUCCUCCUGCAGCCAGAGAUUACAGGUGGUUUUGUUUCUCCCUCCUUCCCUGUGUGUGUGUGUGUGUGUGUGUGUGUGUGUGUGUGUGUGUGUGUGUGUGUAGUCAACUCCUCUAUUCACAAGCUAGUAAAGCUAUCUACUUUUAUUCCUGUCCAGGUAUUUCUUGUAAGAUGAUAUAAUGCAGAAAUUCUUGUGCAUACUCUGUAACUGAAGGAGGCUUUUUUGAUUUAUUUUUGUCUUUAAUAAAAUUCAGAUUGUUAUUUCAGGCUGGUAUGUAGGAAUGGUAGCUGGCUUCUCUACACGACGACUGAGCUGUGGGUUUGCCCAGUGGUAUUUACCUCAUGCAGACCAAUAGCUGAAUCACCAGUUUCCUAGCAUACUCAGUACAGUGUACCAUAGUCAUGCCAGAGACUGAAUCAUCGGACUGAGAGUCGGCUUAGCAGUUAAGAGCACUCAUGUGGAGGACUAGGGUUCUGUUCCCAGCACCCGCAUGGAGACUCCCAACUCUCUGCAACUCCAGUUCCGGGGUGGUCUGACUCCUUAUGUUCCUGAUGGUUCUUGUAAGCACAUGGUGCAUAUAUACUCAGACGAGCGUGCGCGCGCGCACACACACACACACACACACACACACACGUGAGAAAAAAAAAGUCCUCUUUAUUUUUUCAUGGGCCUUCAUUUUUAUGGAGUACAGCAUAAAAGUGACUGACUUAUCAUUGCAAACUUCUUAAUGUUUUUUCUAAGCUACAGUAACCAUUUUGCUUUUAUAUCAAGUAACCCCCCCCCCCGCUUAUAGAUAACCACAUAUUUUUACUAUCUAUCCAUUAGUUUCCUCGUUGCUUCAGUAUUGAUAAGCUACUGUUACUAAUGACAAGUUCAUGUCAGCCCCACCAUAGAAGCCCCUGUAAGAUGCUGAAGGCGGGGGUUGCUAAGCAUUGGCCCCUGAAUCUGCUCUUCUACCAGCUCCAUCUGUGUAGGUGGAGUCACUUGUGUGAGAACUGCCCACUCAUCAGCAGAGGAAACAUUUCUACACCUCCUCAACCCAGAUAUCUGCUCGGAAUGACUGCGAUGUUGUGAAGGCCCCCUGUGAAUUGGAGGGCUUCAGUGUUGGCACUCACUCACUUGGAAUUCCUUCUUCCAUCUGAGAGACAAAAUGCCCAAAAUGAAGUACAAGUACUGGGCCAACUGACAGAAGAUCCACCCGGCACACAGGAAGUGAGCUCUGGUCUGAACUUUUGUCAUCUUUGUGGUGGUGGUAUUUUUGUUUCUGUCUACUAGGAAGUCAUAUUUAAUUAAGGCGUAAUUUAUGUACAAUAAACUUCAUUCAUUUCAAAGUG